UGGGGAAUCUUCCGCAAUGGGCGAAAGCCUGACGGAGCAACGCCGCGUGAGUGAAGAAGGCCUUCGGGUCGUAAAGCUCUGUCUUUAGGGAAGAACAAUCAUAGUGUAAAUAAUGCUAUGAUCUGACGGUACCUAAGGAGGAAGCUCCGGCUAACUACGUGCCAGCAGCCGCGGUAAUACGUAGGGAGCAAGCGUUGUCCGGAAUUACUGGGCGUAAAGGGCGCGUAGGCGGGAACUCAAGUCAGAUGUGAAAACUCCGGGCUCAACCUGGAGACUGCAUUUGAAACUGGGUUUCUUGAGGGCAGGAGAGGAAAGUGGAAUUCCUAGUGUAGCGGUGAAAUGCGUAGAUAUUAGGAGGAACACCAGUGGCGAAGGCGACUUUCUGGACUGUACCUGACGCUGAGGCGCGAAAGCGUGGGGAGCGAACA
rnacentral:rRNA from 1 species